AGUGAACGCUGGCGGUAGGCCUAACACAUGCAAGUCGAACGGCAGCACAGUAAGAGCUUGCUCUUACGGGUGGCGAGUGGCGGACGGGUGAGGAAUACAUCGGAAUCUACUUUUUCGUGGGGGAUAACGUAGGGAAACUUACGCUCAUACCGCAUACGACCUACGGGUGAAAGCAGGGGAUCUUCGGACCUUGCGCGAUUGAAUGAGCCGAUGUCGGAUUAGCUAGUUGGCGGGGUAAAGGCCCACCCAGGCGACGAUCCGUAGCUGGUCUGAGAGGAUGAUCGGCCACACUGGAACUGAGACACGGUCCAGACUCCUACGGGAGGCAGCAGUGGGGAAUAUUGGACAAUGGGCGCAAGCCUGAUCCAGCCAUACCGCGUGGGUGAAGAAGGCCUUCGGGUUGUAAAGCCCUUUUGUUGGGAAAGAAAAGCAGCAGGUUAAUACCCCGCUGUUCUGACGGUACCCAAAGAAUAAGCACCGGCUAACUUCGUG
rnacentral:rRNA from 1 species